rnacentral:rRNA from 1 species
CUACGGGUGGCUGCAGUGGGGAAUAUUGCACAAUGGGCGCAAGCCCGAUGCAGCCAUGCCGCGUGUGUGAAGAAGGCCUUCGGGUUGUAAAGCACUUUCAGCGGGGAGGAAGGCGGUGAGGUUAAUAACCUCAUCGAUUGACGUUACCCGCAGAAGAAGCACCGGCUAACUCCGUGGCCAGCAGCCGCGGUAAUACGGAGGGUGCAAGCGUUAAUCGGAAUUACUGGGCGUAAAGCGCACGCAGGCGGUCUGUCAAGUCGGAUGUGAAAUCCCCGGGCUCAACCUGGGAACUGCAUUCGAAACUGGCAGGCUAGAGUCUUGUAGAGGGGGGUAGAAUUCCAGGUGUAGCGGUGAAAUGCGUAGAGAUCUGGAGGAAUACCGGUGGCGAAGGCGGCCCCCUGGACAAAGACUGACGCUCAGGUGCGAAAGCGUGGGGAGCAAACAGGAUUAGAUACCCGGGUAGUC